GAUGAACGCUAGCGGCAGGCUUAACACAUGCAAGUCGAGGGGUAUAGUUCUUCGGAACUAGAGACCGGCGCACGGGUGCGUAACGCGUAUGCAAUCUACCUUUUGCAGAGGGAUAGCCCCAGAGAAAUUUGGAUUAAUACCUCAUAGUAUAGCAGUUUCGCAUGAAACCACUAUUAAAGUCACAACGGCAAAAGAUGAGCAUGCGUCCCAUUAGCUAGUUGGUAAGGUAACGGCUUACCAAGGCUACGAUGGGUAGGGGUCCUGAGAGGGAGAUCCCCCACACUGGUACUGAGACACGGACCAGACUCCUACGGGAGGCAGCAGUGAGGAAUAUUGGACAAUGGGCGCAAGCCUGAUCCAGCCAUGCCGCGUGCAGGAUGACGGUCCUAUGGAUUGUAAACUGCUUUUGUACAGGAAGAAACNCUACUUCGUGAAGUAGCUUGACGGUAUUGUAAGAAUAAGGAUCGGCUAACUCCGUGCCAGCA
rnacentral:rRNA from 1 species